rnacentral:misc_RNA from 1 species
AAUUCUCAACCCUCUUCGCUUUGUUGCGAAGCCAGGGCUUGGACUUGGAGGCUUUUGCCGGCUCUUGUCGGCUCCUCUCAAACGCAUUAGCUACGUCUUGUUGCGAGCGGUCCUCGGUGUGAUAAUUAUCUACGUCGUCGUCGCUUGCUUCUUUUCGGAGACGCGCUUCAAACCGUCCGAAAGGACAAUUCAUCGAA